UAUUUUCCAGUAACAAUCCUAUCUGUUUAAUUAACGAAUCUAAUCAAAGUGCAAUUCGUUACUUAAUACUCUAAAACAAUAAAAUGUACAUCUUAUCAAACCGCAAUAAAUAUUUACAAUGGGGGCAACAACUAAGCCAAUAUAAUCGUUCCGGCCUUCACCGAAGGCUCAAAGUACAAAAAUUCGUGAAACAAAACACAAGUUACCUUAAAUACAUGAGGAAAUAAACGUAGUUAUUGUAAAAAAACGAGUGUAAACGAUUGAAUGCGCUGCGACCUUGGCGUAAGAACGAAAUUGGCUUGAGAUGUUUAGAUAAGGUGUAAAGUUUAGUUGUGUGGUGUACGUGCAUGACAAUGGACGUGUGAUGUGACCAGCAUACGUUUGUAAACUGUGACGGGCAGUAGUCGCUUACGCAUGAACACUCAAGAAAAAUUGGAACGAAAUAACGAGUGAAUUGUACUAGUGGAAAAUAUGUGCUCGGGAUUUUUGUGAAGGAAUUGUAUUAAAACACAAGUUUUGGAUAUCAUAAAUGAGUGUUCGCGACUGCCAUGUGGACAUAUUCAAGUGUGGAUAUAAGUGGGAAUCAGAUAUCAAGGACAGAUAGGAUCAAGAUUUAUCUGUCAGAAUGUGUGGUUUGCUUCUGUAUCGUGUUCUUCAUCCUCUGCGUAGGACUGCUUCUAUACCUCUUCUUCCAUCUGUACAAUACAGUGACGUCAGCAGGAAAGUUGGCUGGUACUCUCGCAGAAAGCUGAAGUAGUUGUCCAGUAUUACGAAGACUGAUAUCCUAGUGGUCUAUAAGAACAAAAUGUAUGUGAUAAUUUAGUUUAAGUUUCAAGUCAUGUUGUUACGUUCCAGGGAUAGUUUUGAUCUGAAAUCCAAUGGAACGAAAAAUGGAUUCUUUUUGUCAUGAUGGGAAUAAUAAAAUAUUUAAGUUAAAAAAGCUGUGGAAAUAUGAAGAUUUUUGAUAAAGUCUAUUUGAAAUUGAAAAAUGGUGGUGAAUGGACUUCUUGACAUCCAUAAAAGAUUUUUAGAGUAACGUUUGCCCAUAUUUUUCAUUGGUUUACAUAACUUAUGGUAAUACUGCAGGCCGGUCGAUGUUUUGAACAGUAUAACUGUUAAAAUAUUAUCAAUAAGAAUGAGUUCGUCGUAUUCAUUGUUUAAAUAUUAAACAAAACGGUGGCUUGAAACAGUUUUUGUCAAAUUUUCCACGUUUACUCCUCGGCUGACAACAAAACACCGCUUACAGUAAAACGGUAUCCCUAUUGGCAUAAACAGCUGUUAUAACCUAAAACUAGAUUGGAAAACUAAUUACAAUUACAAAAACUCAUACAACAACCAGCAGGAUUUUAAUUAACGAUAAUCAAGGGUGGAAUUUCUCAUCUAUGUAACGCCAUGCUAUUUUGUAUUCUAAUAUCAGGCUCGAAGGUUUAUUUUUGAAUGUUGUUUGUUAGAAAGCUACCAAUUUCAGUGACUUGUCAUCAAAAACUUGACCAAAAUACCGCCCACUAGAUUAAUAAGGUCCGUUUGUGGUCCUAUCUCAUUGGCAGACAGCUUUGUGGUCGAGUGUGAAUAGGACCACACACCACCACACAAAUGUAGCUUUGAGCUAUUUUAGCGACCACGAAUCGCGAUCCGUUUUAUUUAAUCUGAAUUUUCGAUUAGUUUAUCGUGAAUAUGAGUUAGGCAAUGUUAUACCUUUUACGUGUAAGCAUAAACAUUUUUUGAACCGCAAUUCUGUUUAAGCCGUCAUCAGAAAAAAAAAUUGAAUACGUAAUAUUCAUUUUAUUUCAAAAAGCAAUUAAGAUUAUGAAAUGUACGGUAGUGGAGGCUUAAAGUUAAAAGCGUAGGUACAUAUAUUAUGUACUGGUAGGUAACGUUACACGAGAUUUUAAAUCACUGUAUCCCAUUCAUUUUUUGUUAAAAAAAAGAAAAAUAAUUAUACAAUAUUUUUCGGAAGUGUGUCUGACGUACUAGAGCUUUUUUUUUGUCAAAUAUCCUAAUUGUCCUGAAAAUGUUUAUUUUAUUUCAUAUUCUAAUUGUAGCUACUUAAAAUAUAUUUUUGAGUAGUACCCGGCAUGGAGUAUCAUUUGUUUUUUCAAGAAGCUCGAUUGUAAGUGAUGUUUAGUUGUUAUUUGUAACGGCCUCGUAGUGAUUUGUUAAGUUUAACAAAAUGUCAAGUGUUCUAAAUUGGUGAUUUCAUGUUUUUGCUGCUCACUAUAUGUUCUUUGGAUUACGAAAGAUUUAAUGGUCCUUUAUAGAGGUUUCAACAGACACGUAUUCUUUUAUUCAAUUAUGUUAGAUCAUCUCGUUGGGCCUUCAUCAUCAUCCUACAUUUUCCCAACUAUAAGAACUAUGGGAUUGUCAGGGUCCGCUUCCAGUCUAGCUGGAUUUAGCCGGCUCGCUUGUAAAACAAUGGUACUUAACCAUUGUUUUACAAGGGAGACGGCCUAUCUGACCUACACAACUUACAACAUAGAAUCGUUGGCCUUUCAUCCUACUAAUAUUACCUAUAUACGCGAAAGUUUGUAUGUUCGGAUGCAUGAACGUUUGUUAUUCUUUCUCUCAAAAACCACUGAACUGAUUUAGACGGAACUUGCUACACAGUUAGUUUAUAACCUCGAUUAAGAUAUGAGAUAGUUUUUAUUCCGAUUUUAUGUUCCUGUGGGAUCAUUUUGGAUAUUUAGCGGCCGAACCCGCGGGCAGUGCCCAGUGACUAAUGUUAUAUACUAGUAACUCGAAAAAUUUGUAGGUACUUACUUUGAUUUUGCAUAGAUACUUAAAAUAUCUUGUCAUUUUAUGCAACUGUAAAAUAUUCGCAAUAUGUUUUUCAUAAGAAUAUUAGAAGAAUUAUUCUCGAAUUAUUUAAGAUGAUAAUAAAAUAGUUUUGUUAUCCUUAGCAAUUAGGUAAAUGAAUAAUAAUGCGGAAUAAAUUGUGCACAAUUCCGAAAUAAUUUUGGCUGUUGAAUUGUGAAUCUAUAUUAAAUAAUUGUUUUGUUA